rnacentral:misc_RNA from 1 species
ACAAAGAAACUCCACCACAUCCUUUUUUAAAUCCCACAUGAACAUUUAAAUCAUAAUUCACAUCCAAAAUAAGUCUGUUAUUGCGGUAUGAAAGAUAAAAUUCCAUUAUUUUCUUGAUUUACCAGAAAAAAGAUAAGCUGCCAAUACAUUUAUUCCUUCUCUGCAGCUUCCAAUAGAAUUUUGCAUGUCUUCAUCAACGAAAUCAGUAUUUUCCAAACCAUACCUCCUUCAAAAUUGGUAAUCUUUCAGGGAAAAAAGAUUUUGCAUUGCCCACGGAUAUGGAUCCACAUUGAUUAAAG